rnacentral:misc_RNA from 1 species
GAGCGCCAACAGCUAACAUGCUCCCAAAUUCACUAGGACUUCACUUCCUCCCAUACUUGAAGUUCUUGAAAGAAACUUAUCAUGCAAGAGCCACACGACGUCUUUCAGAUGAGUGUUUGAACAGCCGUCUGCUCUGAUGCAUUCAUAAUCCAAAUUUCAUCAAGAGCUUGUCAUGUCCUGGGUGAUUGCGCCGCCUCUGAUCCAGAUGCUGAAGAACUAUCACUAUCAGAAUCACUAGAGGAUGAGCCUGAAUCACUGCUGGAACUACUUGAGCUGCUACUUGCACUAUCCGCCGGUCUUCCACCUUCAAGGGUAGCAGGAGCUGUAUCUUUUUCACCAGUUCCAUUUUCUUUCAGUGCAUCAGCAACCAUUGAUGUAGGGUUCACAUUUCGAGCAGCCU